rnacentral:piRNA from 1 species
UUUUCAACGAAUAUAAACUUU